CUGUGGAUGUACUACAUUCCUUCUCUUAUGUUUUUUGUUGUUUUUGCUCCUUUAAAAAGGGAGCUUGAUCAGGUAUCAGACAUAGAGAAAACCUGGCAGUAUUACAGGAAAGUGGCUAGACUUGGAGUGUUUGUGUACUUAAAGAAGGAAUCUUGCACAUUUUCAACUUUCAGUCGUAGACAUUUUCUUAUAAGAGCAAGUAGGAAGCUGUGCCAGCCCUCAAAGCGGAAAUCAAAGCUCCCAGGGAAACAUACCAGAGGAAUGUGAUUUAGAGCCAAGACCCAUACGCAAUGCAUACACUGAACUGUCAGAUUUAUGGGAAGCCCGGCUGUACAUGGGCAUCUGGACAGUUAGCGAUUUGUCCUAAUGGGGGUUUCUGAUGUUUGCAGUAUGUCUCAGCUUCGAUCAUGUAAAUUAAUUCCAUCAAAAGAAAAAAAAAAAAAGGUAAGCCAGAGGCUUUUUGAAAAACAGCAAUAAAUGUUAUCCCAAAAUCUUCAGGGACCUUGGGUUGGCUUAGUUUGCCUUAUAUUUGCUUAAGAUGAAGGUUAAAGAGAGGGCAACACUUGCUGGGAUUUCAGAGGUGGGAAAGAAGUGCGGAUGUUUACUAUUUAAAUUACAUUCAUUUCCUUCAUGCUUUUUCCUCCUUAAAUUAGUCCCCUGUAAAGUAUUUUUCUGAUGCAAAGGUAUGUAUCAGAAGGUAGUCAGUGCUGUUUCAUGUGGUCUGUUUUAUGUUUGCGUGUUCAUUUACUUGCUUGUAGAUGGAGUUGAGGGUGAGGAAGGCAAAGAAGUAAAGGAACUUAACAUGCUAUGUUUACUUCAGUUUUCUGCUUGUCUCACUUUAUGUUACCAGUUUACUUAGAAUUUUGUUACCACUAGUCUGUUUUUACUCAGAGAUGGUGCUGAAGACAUAGAUAUUAUUACAGAUGAAGAUGAUGUCCAACACUUUGCUGACAGAUGAGUGAUUCAUAUUUAUUACAAUUUAGUAACCACAAGUACUUACAAACCUUUUAUUUAUCAACCAGAUGAAGAGCCCUCUUAACUUGGCAGUUGUAUUUGGAAAUGGAAAAGUAGGGGAGGCAAGCAUUCUUUCAAAUAAGUAGCUUGAAGGGACCAAAUCAAAAGGUUUAAGAGGAAGAGAGGCAUCAGGGAAGAUAAUUCCACUAGUUAAAGCAUCAGACUUUCAUAUCUGAGGUUUCUGGUUCAAUCCCUAGAACCACAUGUAUUGGGGAUAAUUUGAUUUGUCCUUCUCUCCUCUCGGCCUCAAGUGAAAUUUUCUUUAUGUGUAAUAAAAUCUUAAACACAAAAACAAAACUUUUAAUGUUUAAAAAGGGGGGAGAGAAUGGAGACUCUCUAUAGAUGAUGUAUUUCACAGGAUGGGAGUAAAUGAGAGGGUAAGUAUUUAUGAAAGAGUUAGUGUAAAAAUAUGAAUGAAUGUGUCCUUAGAGAUUCUAUAGGAUGGGUGGCUGAGAGGCAAAUUAAAUUAGGCUUCAUCAUUUUAUCCUUUGAAAAAUGUCCCCACCACCUUCCAAGAAACCUGAGAUUAUUUAUAAUUUUAGGGAUCCCUAGAAUACUUAUUAAACCCUUAGGUAUGACCCGGAAGACUGUAUAGUAGGCUGGAGGUGUGCAUUCCGUUCCUGCUAUUUUUCUGCCAUUUGAUCAUGGGAAAGACAAUAAUCUGAGUCCCAGAUUUCCUCACUAACCAUGUUAUCUUUCAACCCAAGGAAACAAUUAUUUCUCAAAGUACUUUUCCAUAAUGUAUUAGACUUUUCCAUUUUCCUAGCCUGUUCUUCAAAAGUUCUUCUUUGCCUUCCUUAGUCUAAAGAGACUAAGUCCUACUCAACCUUGAUUUUAAAGGUCCAAUGCAGUCUGACUUUAUGACACCAUUCAUCUUUGAAGGAAUUGAUGAUACAAUUCAUCUUUUUUUUUUUUUUGUAGUUGCCACCAGGACUAUCACUAGAUCUCUGUGUUUGCUCCUGGCGGCCUUCCCCACACCACCUUUUUCUUUUCCUUCCCCAUUUUUGAUAGGACGGAGAGAAAUUGAGAAGGAGAUAGAUAGAUAGAUAGAUAGAUAGAUAGGUAGAUAGAUAGAUACCUGCAACCUUGCUUCACUACUGCUGAAGUCCCCCCUGCAGGUAGAGGAGGGGCAGUUUGAACCCAGGAACUUAAACAUGGGAACUUGUGCACUCAGCUGAGUCCACUACCAUCCCGUCCUGAUGCCGUUCAUCUUUGUAAGACUUUUUAGUGUUGAAGCUCUGAGAACUUAGAGGAAUUCAAAUCCUACUUCUUCUUCUUCCUCUUUUAAUAUACUUUAUUUUUAUUUAUUUUGGAUAGAGACAGAAAGAAAUUGAGAGGGAAGGAGUAGAUAGAAAGGGUGGGAAAAAGAGAACCUACAACACUGCUUCAUCACUUAAGAAGUUUCCCUCCUGCAGGUGAGGACCAGGAGCUUGAAUCCGGAUCCUUACACACUGUAAUGUGUGCACUCAACCAGGCUUACUGAUUUCUCCUUUUCCCCCUUCUAUGGAAUGGUUGAUUUGAAAUAUGAGGAAAAAAGUGUCUGUGAGAAAGAGGGAGAGAUACCACAUUGCUGGAGCUUCUCUCAGUGCCACAGAACCUCCCAUGGGUGGUAUUGAAGCUAGAAACUGGUAAGCGUUCCUGGCAAGUCACAAGGCCUACCUAGUGAGUUUUUUGUUUUUUUGUUUUUUUCUGAAUACCUGUAUUUUCAAUGCAACUAUUAAUAUUUCCUAA